rnacentral:lncRNA from 1 species
AACUCCAACCGCUGGGAGGUCAGGCACUAGUCGGCCCCCAAAUUGGAGAGGACCGAGCUGAGUGACAGGGCGGUGCGCGCUGGGGCUGAGCGCAGAAAGAGGCGGAGGGGUUUGCCUGCGUGUGUGCGUGAGGCCAGGGGUGGGGGCGGGCACUCCCACCGCACAAGCCGCUGGAGUUGGGGGGCAAGCGCGUUGGUGACGCGGGGCCCUCACGUGAUCUGAAGCUGCAGAGCGACGCAGCCUUCGGUGCAGUCGUCAUUCCCGUCUGGGUACCCGGCUCCCCGCUGCCCUGCGCCUGGCGGGCUGGCAUCGGGCCCGAGGCAAGAGGAGCAGGUCUGCGGUGUAGGUGUCAAGUGUCGCAGCGGCGCACUUACGGCGAGAAUCGGCAGAAGGAGGAGACAGCAAGGAUAGGCCCAGAAAAACAACCA